rnacentral:rRNA from 1 species
GACGAACGCUGGCGGCGUGCCUAAUACAUGCAAGUAGAACGCACAGUUUAUACCGUAGCUUGCUACACCAUAGACUGUGAGUUGCGAACGGGUGAGUAACGCGUAGGUAACCUGCCUGGUAGCGGGGGAUAACUAUUGGAAACGAUAGCUAAUACCGCAUAAUAUUGAUUAUUGCAUGAUAAUUAAUUGAAAGGUGCAAUUGCACCACUACCAGAUGGACCUGCGUUGUAUUAGCUAGUAGGUGAGGUAACGGCUCACCUAGGCGACGAUACAUAGCCGAACGGAGAGGGUGAUCGGCCACACUGGGACUGAGACACGGCCCAGACUCCUACGGGAGGCAGCAGUAGGGAAUCUUCGGCAAUGGACGAAAAUCUGACCGAGAAACGCCGCGUGAGUGAAGAAGGUUGUCGGAUCGUAAAGCUCUGUUGUAAGAGAAGAACGGGUGUGAGAGUGGAAAGUUCACACUGUGACGGUAUCUUACCAGAAAGGGACGGCUAACUACGUG